GCGGCUUCAUUCAUUUCAAUCUCUUUGGUGGAUCGCUUGGUCCGAGCCAGGCGGGGAUGUCGUGGGGGACCAGGUGCUUACUCUUAGGAAAGGAUGCCUAGGGAAGGAGACUGAUGGAAUGGUGGACCAAAAAUAAGAUAACUUCCCAGAAUGAGAACUCCGAAGCAUCAAGCAAUCGGGAUACACUUCAUCUUGCUCUUCAGUCGACAAGGGAAAUUGCGGCUGCAGAAAUGGUACACCACGCUCCCUGACAAAGAGAGGAAGAAGAUCACCAGGGAGAUCAUUCAGUCCGUCCUCUCACGUGGCCACAGGACAAGCAGCUUCAUUGACUGGAAGGAGCUGAAACUUGUUUAUAAAAGGUAUGCUAGUUUAUAUUUUUGCUGUGCAAUAGAAAAUCAGGACAAUGAGCUCUUGACACUAGAGAUUGUACAUCGUUAUGUGGAGUUGCUGGACAAAUACUUUGGAAAUGUCUGUGAGCUGGAUAUUAUCUUUAAUUUUGAAAAGGCCUAUUUUAUCCUUGAUGAGUUUAUAAUAGGUGGAGAGAUCCAGGAAACAUCCAAGAAAACAGCAGUCAAGGCCAUUGAAGACUCCGACAUGUUACAGGAGCAGGUCAAGAGUCAAGAGGAUUUCAAGAAUUAUAAAGUUCCUUUUUAAAAUUGGUGCUAAAGCCAUUCUUCCUGCUAUUUUGGAAAUAAGAGACUGGUUAAGUUAAUAAGACAUUAGGCAUGAUUUCCCAGCAACUGUCUUGGCAGUACUCUGAGCUGAUUACUUACAUCUGCCCAUGGAGGGACUCCAUCAUCAGACGAUGGAAGAAUACAUGAACAAGCCCACGUUUUAAAUGUGCAACCUACUUGAAGAUUCUGAGUGCUUUGUGUUGUGAACCUACAAACAGGCAACUCCUUGCAUCCAGUUGCCACAAGGCUCCUGGCACCAUGCCAAAAAAUAACUUAAAGGGAUUCUGUGUUAGCUAGCAAAACUUAACGUUGUUAGCAUAAUGUGUUUAUGGUUGCUACAUGUCUGUAUUAUACUGUGUAUCAAUACUCCUUGUGGCUUUAAUUGUUUCAAUAGUUUCUGCAGACUCAAUAAGUUGUUUGCAAUGUUUUAAGUUCUUGUGGUAUUUUUAAGGUAAUUUCAAAUAUUAGUUGCAAUGUUAUAUUUUUUUGUUGCCAUUUGAUCUUCUACCUGUAGAUAGAAAACUGCUUUGUGGUAACACACAGUUUUGAAUGCAAAGUAUAUUUUAUAUAACAAAUGCCUUUUCUAAAUGUUUUUAACUGUAUAUAAACUCAAGUUCAUGUUAAUGGUUCAGAUUUCAUACAUGAUGCUAGAUAUUUUUUAAUAUGUUCAAUACUAUUGUACUUUGAGGUCAGAUACAAUGUAUAUGACUUUAAUGUCUUGAAUUCAACUUAUUUUUUUUUAGCAUUGGGAUAGAAUUUACUACAUGAUUUUGAUGUCUUAGAAGGUGCUAGAUUGAGGUUUUAGCUUUAUUUUCAAUUGAAUAUAAGGGAAAUUUUACUAAGGUUGUGUUUUCUACAAAUUAUUUAUUAAGGUUUCAAGAGAUCUGG